rnacentral:misc_RNA from 1 species
UCGUAAAGGGUGCANGAGUGGUGUUUGGUUUGUUACGGGUGGUUGGCUCUUUGCUUUUGCACGAACUUCCACCUGGCAUACCUCUUCAGUCUUGUGUCAAUGCUUGUAUUGCAUUGAAUGACGGGUUUCUUGUGUUGCAUGCCUAGUUAAUGGUAUCGUUUGAUGAAUUGGUUUCCUUUUUCGUCUUGCCUCGCCUACGCGAUGUGUGAUGAACCUUGAAGCAGCCUUUGUGAUCCACACUUUUUGAUGCAUACGCAUUGAUGUUGUGGCCCAUUAAGUGUUGCUUGGUCUCAUGGAUAUGGAACCUGGUGUGGGCAUGGAAUCUUAAUGGUUCUUUGUUUGCCCAAGUUAAGCUUUUCUGAAACGAUCGUCUAUCAUGUGUUAACGUGGUAGACUACAUCGAAUAUGAAUG